CCUACGGGAGGCAGCAGUGGGGAAUAUUGCACAAUGGGGGAGACCCUGAUGCAGCGACGCCGCGUGAGUGAAGAAGUAAUUAGUGAUGGAAAGCUCUAUCAGCAGGGAAGAAAAUGACGGUACGUGAGUAAGAAGCCCCGGCUAACGACGUGCCAGCAGCCGCGGUAAUCCGUAGGGGGCAAGCGUUAUCCGGAUUUACUGGGUGUAAAGGGAGCGUAGACGGCAGUGCAAGUCUGGAGUGAAAGGCUGGGGCUCAACCCCCGGACUGCUCUGGAAACUGUACGGCUGGAGUGCAGGAGAGGUAAGUGGAAUUCCUAGUGUAGCGGUGAAAUGCGUAGAUAUUAGGAGGAACACCAGUGGUGAAGGCGGCUUACUGGACUGUAACUGACGUUGAGGCUCGAAAGCGUGGGGAGCAAACAGGAUUAGAUACCCCUGUAGUC
rnacentral:rRNA from 1 species